rnacentral:rRNA from 1 species
UACCAGCGACCCCGAGUGGUCGGGACGUUUAUUGGGCCUAAAGCAUCCGUAGCCGGUUCUACAAGUCUUCCGUUAAAUCCAACUGCUUAACAGAUGGGCUGCGGAAGAUACUAUGGAGCUAGGAGGCGGGAGAGGCAAGCGGUGACUCGAUGGGUAGGGUAAAAUCCGUUGAUCCAUUGAAGACCACCAGUGGCGAAGGCGGCUUG